UUGGAGGCAAGUCUGGUGCAGCAGCCGCGGUAUUCCAGCUCCAAUAGCGUAUAUUAAAGUUGUUGCAGUUAAAAAGCUCGUAGUUGAAUUUCGGGAUCAGAUUGUCGGUCGUGCCUCGGUACGCACUGGCAUUAUUGGUUCCUACCUUCUGAAGAACCGCGAUGUCAUUAAUUUGGUGUCGUGGGGAAUCAGGACUGUUACUUUGAAAAAAUUAGAGUGUUUAAAGCAGGCUUACGCUUGAAUACAUUAGCAUGGAAUAAUGAAAUAGGACGUUUGAUUCUAUUUUGUUGGUUUCUAGGAUUGACGUAAUGAUUAAUAGGGAUAGUUGGGGGCAUUAGUAUUCAAUUGUCAGAGGUGAAAUUCUUGGAUUUAUUGAAGACUAACUACUGCGAAAGCAUUUGCCAAGGAUGUUUUCAUUAAUCAAGAACGAAAGUUAGGGGAUCGAAGACGAUCAGAUACCGUCGUAGUCUUAACCAUAAACUAUGCCGACUAGGGAUCGGAUGAUGUUAAUUUUUUAAUGACUCAUUCGGCGCCUUACGGGAAAC
rnacentral:rRNA from 1 species